rnacentral:rRNA from 1 species
AUGGGGUGCAGCAGGCGCGAAAACUUUACAAUGCGGGAAACCGUGAUAAGGGAACACUGAGUGCUAGCAUUUAUGUUAGCUGUCCACAUGUGUAAAUAGCAUGUGAUAGCAAGGGCUGGGCAAGACCGGUGCCAGCCGCCGCGGUAACACCGGCAGCCCGAGUGGUGAUCACUAUUAUUGGGUCUAAAGGGUCCGUAGCCGGUUUAAUCAGUCUUCUGGGAAAUCUAAUCGCUUAACUAUUAGGCUUCCAGGGGAUACUGUUAGACUUGGGACCGGGAGAGGUAAGAGGUACUGCAGGGGUAGGAGUGAAAUCUUGUAAUCCCUGUGAGACCACCAGUGGCGAAGGCGUCUUACCAGAACGGGUCCGACGGCGAGGGACGAAAGCUGGGGGCACGAACCGGAUUAGAUACCCGGGUAGUCCCAGCUGUAAACGAUGCUCGUUAGGUGUCAGGAACGGUGCGACUGUUUCUGGUGCCGAAGGGAAGCCGUGAAACGAGCCACCUGGGAAGUACGGCCGCAAGGCUGAAACUUAAAGGAAUUGGCGGGGGAGCAC